AAAGUACUCCCUCCGUCCGAAAAUACUUGUCAUCAAAAUGAAUAAAAGGGGAUGUAUCUAGAUGUAUUUUAGUUCUAGAUACAUUUCCUUUUGUCCAUUUUGAUGACAAGUUUUUUCGGACGGAGGGAGUACAAA
rnacentral:pre_miRNA from 1 species